rnacentral:rRNA from 1 species
GGCCUACCAUGGUGGUAACGGGUGACGGAGGAUUAGGGUUCGAUUCCGGAGAGGGAGCCUGAGAGAUGGCCACCACUUCCAAGGAAGGCAGCAGGCGCGCAAAUUACCCAAUCCCGAUUUGGGGAGGUAGUGACAAGAAAUACCAGUACAGGACCUUACGGGUACUGUGUUUGGAAUGAGUACAAUUUAAAAACCUUAACGAGGAACGAUUGGAGGGCAAGUCUGGUGCCAGCAGCCGCGGUAAUUCCAGCUCCAAUAGCGUAUAUUAAAGUUGUUGCAGUUAAAAAGCUCGUAGUUGAAUUUCGGGGUUAGUAGGCUGGUCAUGCCACCGGUAUGUACUGGUCUUACUGAUUCCUCCUUCCUGAUGAACUGUAAUGCCAUUAAUUUGGUGUUGCAGGGAAUCUGGACUGUUACUUUGAAAAAAUUAGAGUGUUUAAAGCAGGCUAACGCUUGAAUACAUUAGCAUGGAAUAAUGAAAUAGGACGUUCGAUCCUAUUUUGUUGGUUUCUAGGAUCACCGUAAUGAUUAAUAGGGAUAGUUGGGGGCAUUAGUAUUCAAUUGUCAGAGGUGAAAUUCUUGGAUUUAUUGAAGACUAACUACUGCGAAAGCAUUUGCCAAGGAUGUUUUCAUUAAUCAAGAACGAAAGUUAGGGGAUCGAAGACGAUCAGAUACCGUCGUAGUCUUAACCAUAAACUAUGCCGACUAGGAAUCAGACGAUGUUAAUUUUUUAAUGACUCGUUUGGCACCUUACG